rnacentral:misc_RNA from 1 species
UCUAAGGAGCUACYUUCAUGCCCUGUAUUUUUCAUGUUUGUUUAUUUUGGGGUGUGGCUGGCAUUGACCUGUUGUGGUUGGUGUUGGUUGUGGUGGUUUUUAGUGGAAAAAUCGUUAUGGAUUGUCUGGCAUGCUGUUGGGGUGUGGGGUAAUACUCCGUGUACUGCCUGUGCUUUUGGGUGCUCAUYGUGUUGGGUGUUCAGGGGUGUGGUGUUGGUGUGGUGGUUGAGAAUUGUAUAGUGGACGCGAGCAUCUUUGGUUUUUUGUAAGUGUUCAAGAGCGUUCGGUGGAUGCCUUGGCAUACGGAGCCGAUGAAGGACGUUGUAGCCUGCGAUAAGCCUCGGGGAGUUGGCAAACGAGCUGUGAUCCGGGGGUGUCCGAAUGGGGGAACCUGGCUAGAGUUAUUUCUAGUUACCAGCAUCUGAA